rnacentral:misc_RNA from 1 species
GGUCUCUUUGAUUUUGAUGUCCUGUUCCCUCAAAAUUACCCUGAUGUUCCACCGAUGGUUUACUACUAUUCUGGUGGUUUGAGACUGAAUCCCAACUUGUAUGAUUGUGGAAAAGUCUGUCUCAGUCUUCUGAACACUUGGACUGGUAAAGGUAACGAGAGGUGGAUGCCCAAUUCAUCGACCAUGCUGCAAGUCUUGGUUUCCAUACAAGCUCUAAUUUUGAAUUCAAAGCCUUUCUUUAAUGAGCCUGGAUAUGA